UGGCCCCGAUUCUGUCUUGGGCUGGGUGGCGCGGGCAUGGCAUGACUGGAGCUGACUCCUACAGUCCCUUUGUGCCUAACUACAGACACCUAAGGAUCCUGGAGAUGGGAAAGUCCUGGUUGCUUGGCCAACUAGGUAAAGUUAAGCUAGGGAAAAAAAAGGAUACUUGAAAUCUGAUGAGCAGAAGCUAAAUCUUGGGUUUUGUAAGCCUUCCUAGGCAUCUGUAAAGUCUUCUAGAAAUGAAAGGAUGGGUGCUUUAAGAACAUUAGCUGCAUCGGAAGGUUCUUGUGGUGUUGCUACAAGAGCAGAGACCUUUGACAAAGCAAAAGUUGGUGUAAUGUGGUAGCCAGAGUGAAUGAUGUCAUUGCAGGCCAUUACAGAAAAUACUGUGUUCUCUGAGACGUAAUUGUAGCGGGCAAGGAGAGGCAGGCCUUUAAAGGAAUAGGUGAGGAAUAUGUCAGUUGUGUGUUGUAGAGUGGAGUUUGGGUUCUUUGGGAAAAAAGGGCUGAUGUCACUAAGAAGGAAGGACCUAGUGGUCUCUAAGGAGCUGUGGUGGAAUAUGAGAGUUUGGUGAUGUCACAGGUGGAAGAAUUCAAGAUUGGCUGAUCAUUUAUCCUUUCCUUAGAAGAACUAGGAAGAAGAAGGGGGGGUGUCCACUAUCGUUGCCAUGGGAACAUUAUCCUCUCUUGCUCCAUCUCUUCCUCGAUUGACCAUUCCAGAUGCAGUGAGUGAAGCAGAGGCCAUGGCAGAGGAGCGGCCUCCCCGGUUGGUGGAUUACUUUGUGGUGGCUGGGCUUGCAGGAAAUGGAGCGCCUAUACCUGAGGAGAAGUGGGUUCCCGAGCCUACCGGGCCCCUGCGCCCUCCCCGGCCAGCUGAACCUAUUACAGAUGUGGCAGUCAUCGCUAGGGCACUGGGCGAGGAGGUGCCCCAGGGCUAUACAUGCAUUCAGACUUCUGCGGGUGGCCACCCCUUGGAGCUCAGUGCUGGGCUCCUGGGUGGAACUCAACCAGUCAUCUGCUACCGCAGGGGGCGUGACAAGCCCCCCCUCGUUGAGCUGGGGGUGUUAUAUGAAGGGAAGGAACGACCCAAGCUUGGGUUCCAAGUGCUUGACACGACACCGUAUAGCCACUCAGCCAAUCUGGCCCCUCCAGGCCCCGGGCACCCCCGCACCUACCUCAUGUAUCGGCGGGCAGCAGAAGGGGCAGGGCUGCAUGCCCUGGGCAUCACUGACCUCUGCCUGGUUCUGCCCAGCAAGGGUGAGGGUACUCCUCAUACUUACUGCCGGCUACCCCGCAACCUCAACCCUGGCAUGUGGGGCCCAGCAGUGUACCUGUGCUACAAGGUAGGCCUGGCCAAGGCCAACACACUGGUGUAUGAGGCAGAGCUGCUGGGCCGCUACCCAGAGGAAGACAAUGAGGCGUUUCCGCUGCCCGAGUCAGUCCCUGUCUUCUGUCUGCCCAUGGGGGCCACUAUUGAGUGCUGGCCUGCCCAGACCAAGUACCCAGUACCUGUCUUCUCCACCUUUGUGCUCACAGGCGCUGCUGGUGAUAAGGUGUAUGGUGCUGCUUUGCAGUUCUAUGAAGCGUUCCCGAGGGCCAGGCUGUCAGAGAGGCAGGCACGGGCACUGGGCCUGAUGAGUGCCGUGGAACGGGGCCGGGCGCUGGGAGGCCGAGCUGUGCGCAGCCGACGAGCCAUAGCUGUGCUGUCCCGCUGGCCUGCCUUCCCAGCCUUCCGAGCCUUCCUCACCUUCCUUUACCGAUACUCCGUCUCAGGCCCCCAUCGUCUGCCCUUGGAAGCGCACAUCUCCCACUUCAUUCACAACGUCCCAUUCCCAUCCCCACAGAGACCACGCAUCCUAGUGCAGAUGUCUCCCUAUGACAACCUGCUCCUCUGUCAACCUGUCUCCUCACCCCUGCCCCUCAGUGGUGCUAGCUUUUUGCAGCUGCUGCAGAACCUGGGCCCAGAACUGGCUAUUACAUUGCUGCUGGCUGUGCUCACAGAGCACAAACUGCUGGUCCACUCGCUGCGGCCAGAUCUGCUCACCAGCGUGUGCGAGGCCCUUGUCUCAAUGAUCUUCCCUCUGCAUUGGCAGUGUCCCUACAUCCCAUUGUGCCCGCUAGUGCUGGCGGAUGUGCUGAGUGCCCCCGUGCCCUUCAUUGUGGGUAUCCACUCCAGUUAUUUCGAUCUGCAUGACCCACCUGCUGACGUCAUCUGUGUUGAUCUUGAUACCAACACGCUCUUCCAAAAGGAGGAAAAGAAGCCCCUCUCCGCUAGGACCCUGCCCCGAAGACCAUACAAGCUUUUAUUGGCCACCCUGACAAGUCUGUACCAGCAGCUGGACCAGACUUACACUGGACCAGAGGAAGAGGCCUCCCUGGAAUUCCUGCUGACAGACUAUGAGGCUGUGUGUGGCCGCAGGACUCGCCUGGAACGGGAAGUCCAGGGAGCCUUCCUGCGCUUCAUGGCCUGUCUGCUCAAAGGUUACCGGAACUUCCUCCGUCCUCUCACGCAGGCCCCCUCUGAGGGGUCUCGAGAUGUUGACAACCUUUUUUACCUUCAGGGUUUCCUCAAGUCCCGGGAACGCUCAAGCCACAAGCUGUACUCUCAGCUGCUGCACACACAGAUGUUCUCACAGUUCAUCGAGGAAUGCUCUUUUGGCUCCGCCCGGCACGCAGCCCUGGAAUUCUUUGACUCUUGUGUUGACAAGGUUCACCCAGAGCAGGAGAAGCCCGAACCAACACCCUUAGUGGAGCUGGAGGAACUAUCAGGAAGUGAGCUCACUGUCUUUAUCACACCCCCAGAGGAACCACCAGUACUGGAAGGCAGUGAGUCUACUCCUCAGUACUGUUAUGAUGGGUUUCCAGAGCUAAAGGCUGAGCUAUUUGAGUCUCCUCAGGAACAACAGGGGGCCCUCCCUGUGCCAGGCCCAUCCCGGAGUGCUCCCAGCAGUCCUGCACCUCGCCGAACCAAACAGGAGAUGAAGGUUGCACAGCGAAUGGCACAGAAGUCAGCCACUGUGCCUGAGCUGUGGGCCCGGUGCCUGCUGGGUCACUGCUACGGACUGUGGUUCUUAUGCCUGCCCGCCUACGUGCGUUCCGUACCCUCCCGGGUGCGUGCAUUACAUACGGCCUACCACGUGUUACGGGAAAUGGAGAACCGCAAGGUGGUGCUCCCUGAUGAGGUGUGUUACCGCGUGCUGAUGCAGCUCUGCUCACACUAUGGGCAGCCCGUUCUGUCUGUGCGAGUCAUGCUAGAGAUGCGACGGGCAGGCAUUGUGCCCAACACCAUCACUUACGGUUACUACAACAAGGCAGUGCUGGAAAGCAAAUGGCCAUCUGGUACUCCGGGUGGACGCCUACGCUGGGCCAAGCUCCGGAAUGUUGUCCUGGGGGCUGCUCAGUUCCGCCAGCCCUUAAAGGACCGAAGGCAGCAACAGCAGCAGCAGCAGCAGCAGCAGCAGCAGAAGCAACAGGUGGCCGAGCAGCAAAAGUCGGGCAGCUCUCAGACAGAGCCCUAUCUGGAGCGUCCCUCCCCAACGCGCCCUCUUCAGCGCCAGACUACUUGGGCUGGGCGAAGUCUACGGGAACCAUCUUCACCCAUGGGGCGCCUGGUCAAGAGUGGUAGCCUAGGCAGUGCCCGUGGGACACAGCCCACGGUGGAGGCUGGUGUGGCUCACAUGAUAGAGGCCUUGGGGGUCCUGGAACCCCGCGGAUCACCUGUGCCUUGGCAGGACGGAAGCCUCUCAGACCUGAGUCUGACAGGGGAAGAAAUGGCACCUGGAGGCAGCCCUGGGGGCUCAGGCUCCGCCCUGAGUGCCCAGUCCACUGAGGCCCUAGAAGGGAUAAGUGGGCGGGGUUCCAAAACUAGUGGAUGUCAGGAGGAGGUGGGCACUCCCAGAAAAGGGCUGGGUGCCCGCCUCCAACAGCUGCUCACCCCUUCCCGCCGCGCCUCUGCUUCCCGCAUCCCCCCACCUGAGUUGCCCUCUGACCUGCCUCCUGCGGCCCGCCGAAGUCCCAUGGAUAGCCUUCUGUGGCCCCGAGAACGCCCCGGAUCCACUGCUUCUGAGAGCUCUGCUUCUCUGGGCAGUGAGUGGGAUAUCUCAGAGUCUUCCCUCAGCAGCCUGAGUCUCCGCCGUUCCUCAGAGCGUCUCAGUGACACCCCUGGGGCUUUCCAGCCACCCUCUCUGGAAAUUCUGAUGUCUAGCUGUUCCUUGUGUCAUGCCUGUGAUUCCCUGGUGUACGAUGAGGAAAUCAUGGCUGGCUGGGCACCGGAUGACUCUAACCUUAAUACAACUUGUCCCUUCUGCGCCUGUCACUUUGUGCCCCUGCUCAGUGUCCAGACUCUUGAUUCUCGACCCAGUGCACCUAGUCCAAAGUCUUCCCUUGCUGGCGCCAGUGGCUGCAAAGAUGCUCCUGCCCCUGGGGGCCCUGGCCCUGUGCUCAGUGACCGGAGGUUCUGCCUUGCCCUGGAUCAGCCCCAGCUCUGCAAUGGGCAUAUGGGGAGUGCUUCCCGGCGAGUUGAGAAUGGGGCAUGGGCGUACCUGAGCCCUCUGGUGCUGCGUAAGGAACUGGAGUCCCUGGUAGAGAAUGAGGGCAGCGAGGUGCUGGCGUUACCUGAACUGCCUGCUGCCCACCCUAUCAUCUUCUGGAACCUCCUGUGGUAUUUCCAACGGCUACGCCUGCCUAGUGUUCUACCAGGCCUGGUGUUGGCCUCCUGUAAUGGGCCCCCACCCAGCCAGCUCUCCCAGGGACCAUCUCCAUGGCUAACCCCUGAUCCAGCUUCUGUGCAUGUGCAUCUGCUGUGGGAUGUCCUGACCCCUGAUCCCAACAGCUGCCCACCUCUCUACGUGCUCUGGAGGGUCCACAGUGAGUUGGCCAGAUCCCACAGCGGGUGGUGUGGCCAGGCCCAGUACCCUCAUGUCUUAGCUUGGCAUUACUGGAGUCAGUGCUGCGCCACGUCGGACUCAACGAGGUUCAUAAAGCUGUUGGGCUUCUGCUGGAGACGCUAGGGCCCCCUCCCACCGGCCUGCACCUACAGAGGGGAAUCUACCGUGAGAUCUUAUUCCUGACCAUGGCUGCUCUGGGCAAGGACCACGUGGAUAUAGUGGCCUUCGACAAGAAGUACAAGUCUGCCUUUAACAAGCUGGCCAGCAGCAUGGGCAAGGAGGAACUGAGGCAGCGGCGGGCACAGAUGCCCACUCCCAAGGCCAUCGACUGCCGAAAGUGUUUUGGAGCACCUCUGGAAUGCUAGGGACCCUUAAGCUCCCCUCUCCAGCCUUGAGUGGAGAGGUGCGGAAGAGUGGAUUCUAGACAUAGCCUGACUCCCUGUUCCCUUCACAGAGGAAUUGGGAACAGGAUGUUCAGCCUAGGCUCCAAGUGGGAAUAGUAGAAAGAGGGACUCACUGUUACCCAAAGUCACAAUUCUCCUAUCUCCACCCUGCCCUGUUUGUUCAUGCUGAUGUGGGGGAGAGCUAGGGAAGUUGACACAACUCCGUCUUUCUCCAUCCCAUUCCAGGGUCUCCUUUCCAGGGUGUCCUCAGAUCCGCAGUGCCCUGGUAGACUUAGAAGUUUUUGUUUUAAAAAACAACUGGAAAAACUCAGAGCUCCUGAGCCUUUGCCCUGAGUGGAAGGGAGGAAUUUCAUUCCCCACGUCUCUUCCCUGACAUUGCUAAAGGAGCCCAAGGCAAUCUUAGUGUUGUAUUCUAUUUAGUUAUUUAUUCUGAGGCCACAGCUCCUAUACUUAUGGGAGUCUCAAGGAGCGUGAGAAAGAAGGGAAUUAGAUUUGUAGCACCUUGAGAGCCAUGCUCUGGGACCCAGAGGAGUCCCAAGCUUCCCUUAGGAAGAACUGGUGCCUCUUCUAGUCCUGAUCCUCUUGUCCACUCCACCUUGGGGAACACCUCUCCCAUCCAUGGCCUUGACCUGUGCAAUAAGGAUUGUUCUCUGCAAAGUUUUUUUGGAUGUAAAUAUAGUAAAAGCUGCUUCUGUCUUUUUUUU